rnacentral:rRNA from 1 species
UGGGAAUUUUGGACAAUGGGCGAAAGCCUGAUCCAGCAAUGCCGCGUGUGUGAAGAAGGCCUUCGGGUUGUAAAGCACUUUUGUCCGGAAAGAAAUCCUUGGCUCUAAUACAGUCGGGGGAUGACGGUACCGGAAGAAUAAGCACCGGCUAACUACGUGCCAGCAGCCGCGGUAAUACGUAGGGUGCAAGCGUUAAUCGGAAUUACUGGGCGUAAAGCGUGCGCAGGCGGUUUGCUAAGACCGAUGUGAAAUCCCCGGGCUCAACCUGGGAACUGCAUUGGUGACUGGCAGGCUAGAGUAUGGCAGAGGGGGUAGAAUUCCACGUGUAGCAGUGAAAUGCGUAGAGAUGUGGAGGAAUACCGAUGGCGAAGGCAGCCCCCUGGGCCAAUACUGACGCUCAUGCACGAAAGCGUGGGGAGCAAACAGGAUUAGAUACCCUGGUAGUCCACGCCCUAAACGAUGUCAACUAGUUGUUGGGGGAUUCAUUUCCUUAGUAACGUAGCUAACGCGUGAAGUUGACCGCCUGGGGAGUACGGUCGCAAGAUUAAAACUCAAAUGAAUUGACGGGGUCAUAGCUGUUUCCU